GAUGAACGCUGGCGGCGUGCUUAACACAUGCAAGUCGAACGAUGAAGCCCAGCUUGCUGGGUGGAUUAGUGGCGAACGGGUGAGUAACACGUGAGUAACCUGCCCUUAACUCUGGGAUAAGCCUGGGAAACUGGGUCUAAUACCGGAUAGGAGCGUCCACCGCAUGGUGGGUGUUGGAAAGAUUUAUCGGUUUUGGAUGGACUCGCGGCUUAUCAGCUUGUUGGUGGGGUAAUGGCUCACCAAGGCGACGACGGGUAGCCGGCCUGAGAGGGUGACCGGCCACACUGGGACUGAGAUACGGCCCAGACUCCUACGGGAGGCAGCAGUGGGGAAUAUUGCACAAUGGGCGGAAGCCUGAUGCAGCGACGCCGCGUGAGGGAUGACGGCCUUCGGGUUGUAAACCUCUUUCAGUAGGGAAGAAGCGAAAGUGACGGUACCUGCAGAAGAAGCACCGGCUAACUACGUG
rnacentral:rRNA from 1 species